AUUGAACGCUGGCGGCAGGCCUAACACAUGCAAGUCGAGCGGAGCGGCGGACGGGUGAGUAAUGCCUAGGAAUCUGCCUGGUAGUGGGGGAUAACGUCCGGAAACGGGCGCUAAUACCGCAUACUAUCAGAUGAGCCUAGGUCGGAUUAGCUAGUGGGGGGGGUAAAGGCCUACCAAGGCGACGAUCCGUAACUGGUCGGAGAGGAUGAUCAGUAACAAUGGAAGUGAGACACGGUCCAGACUCCUACGGGAGGCAGCAUGGGGGAAUAUUGGACAAUUGGCGAAAGCCUGAUCCAGCCAUGCCGCGUUGGUGAAGAAAGUCUUCGGAUUGUAAAGCACGUUAAUUUUGGAGGCGUUACCAACAGAAUAAGCACCGGCUAACUUCGUGCCAGCAGCCGCGGUAAUUC
rnacentral:rRNA from 1 species